UCUGUACCCAGACCUGGGGGAUGGAAGUUACGCCUGUGCUGUACUCAGCCCGCCCCACGUCAGCACUGCUGCCCAGUACAAGCCCCUGUCAGGGUUUGCAGACCAGGUUCAGUGUGUUCCUUCAUUCCAGCCUGUCUGAGGGAGGCUGUGGCCUGUGGCCAGGACAGGAGGGACCGAGGUGUCCCUGUGAAGAGCAGGUUGUCCAGAGGUCCAGUUAGUGGCCUUGGAGAACACUGACAGCAGCACAGCCUCAGCCUCACUCCCUGGUAUGCAACGUGGUGGCUUCUCUAAGGAGGACGGGGGAGUUUUCUUAGGCCAAACAUCCAGGGUGCCGUCCUGCAGGUGCCCACUUUGACACCUCACCUUCACUUUGUGGCUCAAGACAAAUGGCAUGGGGAAAGAUGGUAUUGAAGUGGAGGCAGCAACCACGGGCAGCUGGUUCGUGGGACUCGUCUGUACAGGGAACCGAGACGGGGCUGCAACUGGAGGACCCAUGCCAGGGGACCUCAUUGCAUUUAGUUGUCACGUCUCCCCCGGCUCCUCUGGUCUGUGUCACGUUGUUUUUGAUACCUGCUCGGGGCCAAGACUAGGACCAGAGAGGUGAGUGAAGAGAGUUCUGGUGGCUCCGGGCCAGGGGUUGGGCAGACACGGCGCCCUUCCGUGGUGCUGGAGAGCUGGCAGGACAAAUGGCCUGGGCAAAGGCAGGCGCAGGGGGCUUUGGAAUUGCUUUAAAAGGGGGAGGGGGUUCUGAUUGAAAAGCCAGCAUGAAUAAUAACAUCCAGCACUGUAUUUUGAUGGGAUAAUUGUUUUAUAUUUAUAAAGAUUCUUAAUUAUCUCCAGCAAAUGCAUUUAGCUCACUUGGUAAUUGAAUUAAGGAAAAUGUCUUUUCAAGCAUUGUAAGUCAUUGCUGUAAUAAAAAAAGAAGGAAGAAUGACUUUAAAGUACCUCCCUACAUGACCUAGACAAACUUGUUAUUACUGAAAGCUGAGUAAUCCCAUUAAGGCCUCAGUUCGUUCUAACAGAACAGGCGCUCUGGAGACGCCACACGAAAAUUGCAAGAGAUGGGGGAAGCUUCCUUUCUUUGGGAAGCCUCUGCCGACCCCACUUCGAGCGGAUCCUGCCCUCCUGGUGCCCUGGACAUACUUUUAUUUUUGUGCUUAUCACACUGACCUGUGAGAGCCUCCUGGUCAGCUUCAACUCCCCUUUAUCCCCCACAUGUCCUGAGAGCUCAGAUGGACGGCAUUUGCCCACUUCAGUAUCUCCCAGCACAGCCAAUAAAGGAGCACGUGAGAUGCUUCCCAACCUGUGUGAUUACCCCUCCUGCCACAGCAGGGAACAGUCCUUCAUAAAUCCUGUGUCUUUGGAGGAACGUUUUCUGGUACACUGCAGCAGCUGUGGCUUGCAAUGUCUAAGUUACCAGGAUGUCGGUGAGGAGGGCCCUGACCAGGGCGGAGUAGGGGGGACCUGCGGCAUUCGGGAGCAUGAAGCCUUGGUGCUGGAGUCUCCAGGCUCGCCAGGCAGCUCUGGGGCUGGGGGUGGGGCUGGGAGGAGCCCAGACAGAUAGGCCCUGAGCUUUGAAGAAAAAUCAAUAUUCACCAGGGAGUUGAUGGUAUCAUAAAAGUCUCGAGUUGCACUGCCAUUUCCUGGCCUCUGAGUGGCCCAAGGUGAGCGCUGCUGAGGAGGGAGCUGCCCUGCCUGCCCCUCCCCUGCACUGCCUGUCUGAGGUCCCAGAAGGAGCAGGAGAAACCCAGCACGCAUCUUAGGUGGUAGAGCCACUCGAGUGAGCCAGAGCAGCGAGGCGAGGACGGUGGCUCCCUCUUUCUUUCGGAGGUGCAUACAUUCAAAAAAAUAACUACUCAAUGCUUGCUAUACCUAGGCCUGGGGCCACGCUCUGGUGACGCGGCCAGGAGCCCAGCAGACAGCAUGCUGCCUCCAUGGAGUCUACAGUCCUGCGUGGAGAUCAAUGUUGAACGGGGAAAUCAGACAGGAAACUGGCUAAGUAGAGGCUGGUAGGUGUCAUCCAGCAAAGCAAUGAAGAGGCAGGUGGCGGCUCAGGAGGGCUGGUAGGGCUGCUGUUGGGUGGGGCUGUGGACACUCAGUGGAGCAGGAGCCUGGGCAGUAGGGGGGCCGGCUCCUGACACAGCCACUCCCCGACCACUCUUGGCUUCUCUGCUUCCUUCCUUCUCUCUCUGCCUCCUUCCCACACCCAUGCCCAGGUGCUCCUGUAGCUCUGGCAUGCAUAGGGACACUGAGGUGCCCUAUUGCCAAGUGGCCCAUCGCCUUCAUUUCAUAGUCCAGAUGCUCUGACAGUGAUCCCAGGUGACCACCCAUGCAUCGCCUGUCCUGGUGGGGGCCGCCCUGUGCCAUGCAGCAUGCACGACACGGCACAGCAUGGCUCAUGGCUGCCCAGCACCAGGGGCCGAGGGGGUGAUGAGCAUAGCAGUGAGCAUUCCAUGUGGCCAUCAUGCCUGGGAUUGAGUCCUGCUCACCUCUAUCAGGGGAUGUCUUUAGGCAAGUCUCUUAACAUGCGUGUGCCUCAGUUUUGUCACCUGUAGCCCAACGCCUCAGGGUGCCAAGGGGAUCAUACGCAUGAAGCCCCUGGCAGGGUGUGCUAGGCACGUGUGCACAUGCCCCCUGGAGGGGAUGCAUCAGCGUGGGCGGAACUCUGCCGUUCCAGCCUCCUGAGGGUGUUGUGGGUCCUGAGGGUCCUGACGCCUCACCAGGCUGGGAGGCAAAGGGGUUUGUAACUUACAUAACCGCAGAGAGAGGCAAGGUUGCUGCCCACAAUGGUGCUUUCACAGGGCAGCUCUGGGACAGCAUCCUCACCCGACUAUAUGGAAUUCCACAUCCUUUCCGACUCUUGGUGUUACACAAUAGUCACUGAGAUAUCAUGUACCCCAUUAAUGUUGAGACUUUUAUGUAUUUACAAUUCAGCUUAAAUUUUUACCCAGAGAAGUUUUCAAAAUGUAACAUGUGUUAGUCACUGCGUGAAUUGCGAAACCAAGGAAAUAUCUCCAAAGUGCUGGCCUUGACAAUGUAAUCUGGCAAGGCUUGGGGAGGAAUAAAAAUAACACUUCUCAGCAUCGCCGUCUCUGAGGGCAGGAGUGAUCUGGAGCCCUCCCCAAGCCCACAGGUGGUUGGGCAGCACGUGCGGGGCUGGGUGGCCGCCCUGGGGUCUUCUCCCUACUUCUCUGGCCCCUCCCCGAGGCCAGGACAAGUUGUGCCUGCCCUCAAGCUGGGCGGUUGAGCCCAGGUUGGGGUGGUGGUGAGACAGGGAGACUGGGGAACUGGGCACCCUGAUGGGGGUUCUGGGUCUGACGCUCACCAGCCUGGAGGUCCAGGGCAUUUCCCUAACCUCAAUGUUCACGGAAAGGUUCAGGGGCCAUGCCCCGGGUGGCCACAGCAACGGGAAGCUUCCUGGCUGCCUCAAAGGGCUGUUCUGUGGGGGAACCUGGUCCAGGAUGAUGGAGGGGAGGCAGCAACUGGACUUUUCCCCUUGCAGCUGUAAGGAUAGCUUGAUUUUUCUAAACACAACAACCCUGUGUCUCCCCACUGAGUUACAAGCCUGCAGGUGGCUUGAUGAACAUGUGGUUUCUGGAUGUGACAUGAAAGUUAGCAUUUGCACGCUCUUUGUCUGGUUUCCCUGGGUUUGUUUUUCUUGCUCUUACAGUCCUGAACUAUUCCCAAUCGUGUUUAUGUUGAGGCAGAAGACAUGGCUGUGGAGUGUCGGUGCACCAGGGUCUGCCGGGCCCCCGCCUCCCCAUCCUUCCAAGAGGCACCAGCUGCAAGGCACGUGCACGUGCCCUCCCGACACCCCAGUCCCCGAAGAGCCUGCUCCUAUCACUCCAGGCAUCUGCUCACAGCGCCAGCGGUGCCUCGUGCUCCACCUGGAGCGCUACUGUCUGUCGGGGACAUGGGCUCCCAGGAGGCUGCAUGUGAAUGAUUUCCGACCUUCAGAACAACCAGGAAGUAGGGACUGGGAUUGUUCCCAUUCUGCAGAUGAGAAGACUGAGGCUUGGGAUAACACGCUUGCCCAAGGUCACGUGGGCAGUACAGGACAAAGCUAGGGUUGCAAAUGGUCACGCCUCCUACGCUUCCUAUUUUAAUGUUCCUUUUCUGCCAGCUCCUCCUCUGAGUGCUGGCUUUCCCUGCUUACCAAGCCCCCAGCUCCUCACUGCGGUGCCAGAGCACCCAAGAGCCUCCUCUGGCAGUGCCCAUGGCCCACAGCACACUCCCUUUGGCUCUAUCAGGCCUCCCUUUUGGCGUAAGUGCCACCCACUCACUCCUCUCCUGCUUUCUGGCAUCGUUAUUUAAUUGUCCAACCCUGGUCUGCCCAGUUAGAUUGUAAACUCCGAGAGGACGAGGAGUCCGCGCCGGCUGCCCCCGGGCCUGGCCUGGGGCUGCCACGUGGCUGAAUCUCAGCCACACUUGCUGUAGAAUGAUUUGUUGUUAUUCUCUGAGGCUGGGUUUCCACGUGUCUGGGCACAGGAGGACAGAGUCCCCCUCCCCGUCCAGGUCCUUGGCUGGCCAGCAUUUCAAAUGAUAUUGUUUCAUAUUAAAUUAUUUUAAAUUCCAUGGACCCUGGUUUCACAAUCAAAUAAUUCGAUCUUGUUUACAAAUGGAAUUUUUACUUUUUGACGGUUUCUUGCUUUGCUGGGCUGGAUGGUCAGUGAAUGCGUGUCCUCCCAUGCCCUCCAGUCCAUCUCUGUUGCCUUCCCUGGGAUGCCGUGGAGGCCGGGAACCAUCCCCAGGAGUGGGGACGUGGUCGGGGGGGUGGGGUCAAGCAGCUCCGUGCAGGCAGGCAGCUCACUGUGCUCAGGGCCUGGAGACCGGGGCGUUCUCUGCUUCCCCUCUUCCAGCUCCGGCCGUGAGAAAACCCACAAAUAACAGAAUUGGAAGGGACCUUUGACACCCGUGAUUCCAACAUCCCUUUUUACAGGAUAUAGAGACAGGAAGGCCAGCAGGAAGUAGGCCCUCACCAAAACCAAACUGGCAGCACCGUGAUGCUGGACUUCCAGCCUCCUGAACGAUGGGCAAAACACCCGGAGUGAUGUCUGGUCAAAUAUCUGGAUGCUGUGACCCCAUCAAGUUGACGCUGAAAUUAACCCUCGCAGAGGCUGCCUCUUUAUCAUGGGACAUAUGCUUGGAGCCACUCUUCUGGAACUUUCUCUAAGCGAGUGAUGGUAUGGGGCAGAUGAGUGUCAUUGCUCUGUGGUCACUUGAUGGGUGACCUGGGUUGGUCCCAUCAACCUCCUCACUGGGCUUGGCUCAGAAUGGCAUCAGGCUGUUUUCACAAGUCGACCGGCUCUCCAGGGUCAGGACCAAACCUGCUGAGGAGAUCACAGAUGGCCCUGACUCCACGCGCCGCCCCAAAGGACCCUAGGGCAGGCGUCUGAGCCAGUCCCAGGCUGCAGAGGUUGACUCAGGAAAGCACCAGGAAAAGUUGGUUGUUAACAUCCCAGUCCAAUUUUUUUGAUUGGGCCUAAAGGCAGGGACUUCCUUCUAUAAAAUCUGGGAGCUGAGUGCAGGGCAGGCCUGACAAGGUUCGAGGAGCUGGCUGUGGACUUCAGCUCUCCCUGGGUGUACAGGAGCUGCCCUGGGCCCUGGUGGCUCCUCCUCAUCCCCACCUCUCUGCUGCACCACUAUGGCCUCAAGGCCUGCACUGCCUCACAAAGCUGUACCCACGCCAGGCUCCUACGAGCACGCCGGGCAUCAGAACUCUGGCUGGUGGACCCACAGAGACCCGGGGUAAUAGCAAUGAGAAGAACAGGCCACCACCACCCAGCCUGCGGGAUGGCCAGGGACACUCAUCCAGGGCCAUGGGAGUGUGAAUCAGUCGAGUACAAUAUGCAUAAGCAGUGUGGCCAGAACCAGAGCUUCGAGGUAUCUGACUCCCGGUGUCCUGCUACCAUCCCAGCACUGUUGGUUAAUGGCGAAAGAUGGGGCACUGGGGGUGGGAGGUCUGUGUCUAUGCUUGGUGGCACCUAAGAAAGAGCAGCGUUUGUCUGUAAGGAUUGAGAUGGACAGGUCUCUAAAAUAAACACGGCAAAGAACGCAAGAGGCUGAACCCAAAGUAUGAUUCAUUUGGGGGUUAAAAAAAUAGAUGGUAUAGGCUGCGUGGUAGCUCACGCCUGUAAUCUCAGCACUUUGGGAGGCUGAGGUUUG